rnacentral:rRNA from 1 species
GAAACUGCGAAUGGCUCAUUAAAACAGUUAUAGUUUAUUUGGUGGUCAUUUUUACAUGGAUAACCAUGGUAAUUCUAUGGCUAAUACAUGCGCACAUGCCUCCUCCCCUGGAGGGGCAGUGUUUAUUAGAUACAAAACCAACCCAUCUUCGGAUGGAGACAAGGUGAUUCAUAGUAACCGAACGGAUCGCAUUUAUGGCUUCGGCCGGCGAUAGAUCAUUCAAGUUUCUGACCUAUCAACUUUCGACGGUAGGGUAUUGGCCUACCGUGGCAGUGACGGGUAACGGGGAAUUAGGGUUCGAUUCCGGAGAGGGAGCCUGAGAAACGGCUACCACAUCUAAGGAAGGCAGCAGGCGCGCAAAUUACCCAAUGAAAACAGUUUCGAGGUAGUGACGAUAAAUAACAAUACAGAACAUUUCAUGUUUUGUAAUUGGAAUGAUGGGAAUCCAAACCCCUUUCAGAGUAACAAUUGGAGGGCAAGUCUGGUGCCAGCAGCCGCGGUAAUUCCAGCUCCAAUAGCGUAUAUUAGAGUUGUUGCAGUUAAAAAGCUCGUAGUUGGAUUUCUGUUGGGAGCAGCCGGUCCGGCGUUUAUUCGUUGUGCACUGGUGAAUCUCAGCAUUUUUUCGGUAGCGAUUCCCCCCUUUAUUGUGUGGGUUUCGUAUUUCCGAAACUUUUACUUUGAGAAAAAUAGAGUGUUUCAAGCAGGCUUGUCGCCUUGAAUACUGCAGCAUGGAAUAAUAAGAUAGGACUUUGGUUCUAUUUUGUUGGUUUCUAGGACUAAAGUAAUGAUUAAUAGGGACAGUUCGGGGCAUUCGUAUUUAACUGUCAGAGGUGAAAUUCUUAGAUUUGUUAAAGACGAACUACUGCGAAAGCAUUUGCCAAGGAUGUUUUCAUU